ACAAAUAGCCUCUAGGGUUCCGGUUUUUAAUUACCAAACAAAAUGCAGGUCCGAGAGAGGCAAGUUAUUUUCUAGUAUUAGAGAGUAACUACACGGAGGGAAAAAAGCCCGGGAGAA
rnacentral:sRNA from 2 species